AUGGGUAGCCUACCAUUCCACCAUGAUUCACAUGAAACUACCUCUGAUCACAUUACCAAUGCCCUAGACCAUGAAGAAUUUAGGAAACACGGCCACAUGAUCAUCGACUUCAUUGCAGAUUAUUACCAAAACAUAGAGAAAUAUCCAGUUUUAAGCCAAGUGCUACCUGGUUAUCUCAAAAAAUGCCUACCAAAUUCUGCUCCAUAUGACCCUGAACCUAUCUCAACCAUCCUUAAAGAUGUUCAAGAUCACAUUAUUCCUGGCCUAACACACUGGCAAAGUCCCAAUUUUUUUGUUUACUUUUCUUCAACGGCUAGCACUGCUGGGUUUCUAGGGGAAUUGCUCACCACUGGAUUUAAUGUGGUGGGGUUCAACUGGGUUUCAUCACCAGCAGCAACCGUGCUUGAGAACAUAAUCAUGGAUUGGUUGGGAGACAUGCUUCAGCUUCCUAAGUCUUUCCUAUUCUCUGGCAACGGCAGCGGUGUGUUGCAUGUGAGGCCAUUGUUUGCACAAUGGUAGCUGCCAGGGACCAAAUGCUAAGCCGACUUGGUAGCGAGAAUAUGGGAAAGCUUGUUGUGUAUGGUUCAGACCAAACACAUAGCACACUUCAAAAGGCGACACAAAUUGUUGGAAUCAACCCUGAAAACUUUCGGGCCAUCAAGACUACAAAGUCGACUAGUUUUGCAUUAUCACCUGAGAUGCUAAGAUUGGCAAUAAGUUCAGACCUAGAAAAAGGUUUAGUCCCCCUCUUUGUUUGUGCUACAAUUGGCACGACCGCUACAACUGCUAUUGAUCCAUUGGAGUCACUAUGUCAUGUAGCAAAAGAAUAUGGGGUGUGGGUUCAUGUGGAUGCUGCGUAUGCUGGAAGUGCAUGCAUUUGUCCUGAGUUUCGACAUUACAUCGAUGGCGUAGAGGGCGCCAAUUCUUUUAGUUUUAACCCUCAUAAGUGGUUAUUCACUGGAAUGGAUUGUUGUGGCCUUUGGGUUAAAAAUCCAAAUCUGUUGGUAAGUUCACUAUCGACGAAUCCUGAGUUUUUGAGGAACAAAACUAGUGAUUCAAAGCAAGUUGUGGACUACAAAGAUUGGCAAAUAGCCCUAAGCCGGAGGUUUCGGGCAUUGAAGUUAUGGCUUGUGCUCAGAAGCUACGGCGUUACGGCGUUACGGCGUGGCUAACCUUAGAAACUUUAUUCGUAGCCAUGUCAAAAUGGCCAAGACUUUUGAAGGGCUUAUGAGAAUGGACAAGAGGUUUGAGAUUGUGGUGCCUGGUAACUUCUCCUUGGUCUGCUUUAGAAUUUCACCAUCAGCAUUGAUUUGUAGUGAUGAUAAUGGUGAUGAGACGGGUCUUGUAAACGAGGUAAAUUGCAAGUUGUUGGAGGCCAUCAACGCAUCAGGUAAAGCAUACAUGACUCAUGCUGUGGUUGGAGGUGUCUAUUUGUUGCGUUGCGCCAUAGGUGCAACUCUAACAGAAAAAAAGCAUAUUCUCAUGGCGUGGAAGGUAGUGCAAGACCAUGACAAUGCCAUCCUGAGCAUAUAUCUCAAACACAAAUGCAUUACUAAAGCUAAAAAUUACAACCCAGUGUCUAUAGAGGCUGAGUAUCUACUUUUCCUCAUUAUCAUUUGCUUGCCCAGAAAUGGCUUGUUCCGGCCAGAGGUACAUAUGCUGGAUAUGGAAUGCUUUUCGUACUUGAGCCGUGCUUUAGAUAGCUCAUUAUCUCCUCCAAUAGUAAUAUUUGCCACAAACAGAGGAAUUUGCAAUUUAAGAGGGACUGAUAUGGCUAGUCCUCACGGAAAGCCUGUUGACUUAUUGGACCGAUUGGUUAGUAUCCGAACUCAAACAUAUGGUCCUGAGGAGAUGAUAAAGAUCUUAGCAACCCGCGCACAGUUUUCUCAUAGAGGAGAAGAGUUCGGCUUACCUGCUCGGAGAGAUAGGCCAAAAAUCAUCUUUAAGAAAGAAGAGGAGGGACUCUCGGGGCCAAGAGCUAGCUGGUCUACUUUGGCUUAUUUGAGUUGGGUCAAAUGGUUUGCACGAAAUCAUCUUCUCUUUAAUAAUCAUAUCGUGGCUGAGAAAGCACAAUUGUCAAUAGAAGAAUUUUCGAAGGCUCAUAAGAGCAAGAAUAAGGCUGCUGUUGGGAGUAGGGAUUUGGUCAUUGUGAUGUCAGAUUGCAUUGGAUGA